CAGUCGCCGCGGGAAAACGUAGGGUGCAAGCGUUGUCCGGAAUUAUUGGGCGUAAAGAGCUCGUAGGCGGUUUGUCGCGUCUGCUGUGAAAUCCCGAGGCUCAACCUCGGGCUUGCAGUGGGUACGGGCAGACUAGAGUGCGGUAGGGGAGAUUGGAAUUCCUGGUGUAGCGGUGGAAUGCGCAGAUAUCAGGAGGAACACCGAUGGCGAAGGCAGAUCUCUGGGCCGUAACUGACGCUGAGGAGCGAAAGCGUGGGGAGCGAACAGGAUUAGAUACCCGCGUAGUCCCUGUCUCUUAUCC
rnacentral:rRNA from 1 species